rnacentral:rRNA from 1 species
GAUGAACGCUGGCGGCGUGCCUAAUACAUGCAAGUCGAGCGAACAGACGAGGAGCUUGCUCCUCUGACGUUAGCGGCGGACGGGUGAGUAACACGUGGAUAACCUACCUAUAAGACUGGGAUAACUUCGGGAAACCGGAGCUAAUACCGGAUAAUAUAUUGAACCGCAUGGUUCAAUAGUGAAAGACGGUUUUGCUGUCACUUAUAGAUGGAUCCGCGCCGCAUUAGCUAGUUGGUAAGGUAACGGCUUACCAAGGCAACGAUGCGUAGCCGACCUGAGAGGGUGAUCGGCCACCCUGGAACUGAGACACGGUCCAGACGCCUACGGGAGGCAGCAGUAGGGAAUCUUCCGCAAUGGGCGAAAGCCUGACGGAGCAGCGCCGCGUGAGUGAUGAAGGUCUUCGGAUCGUAAAACUCUGUUAUUAGGGAAGAACAAAUGUGUAAGUAACUAUGCACGUCUUGACGGUACCUAAUCAGAAAGCCACGGCUAACUACGUG